UACGUAGGGAGCAAGCGUUGUCCGGAAUCAUUGGGCGUAAAGCGCGCGUAGGUGGCCUCAUAAGUCCGCUGUGAAAGUCAAAGGCUCAACCUUUGAAAGCCGGUGGAUACUGUGGGGCUAGAGUACGGAAGAGGCGAGUGGAAUUCCUGGUGUAGCGGUGGAAUGCGCAGAUAUCAGGAGGAACACCAAUAGCGAAGGCAGCUCGCUGGGACGUUACUGACACUCAACUGCGAAAGCGUGGGGAGCAAACAGG
rnacentral:rRNA from 1 species